GGGUUGUGAGGUUAAGCGACUAAGCGUACACGGUGGAUGCCCUGGCAGUCAGAGGCGAUGAAGGACGUGCUAAUCUGCGAAAAGCGUCGGUAAGGUGAUAUGAACCGUUAUAACCGGCGAUGUCCGAAUGGGGAAACCCAGUGUGAUUCGUCACACUAUCGUUAACUGAAUACAUAGGUUAACGAGGCGAACCGGGGGAACUGAAACAUCUAAGUACCCCGAGGAAAAGAAAUCAACCGAGAUUCCCCCAGUAGCGGCGAGCGAACGGGGAGCAGCCCAGAGUCUGAAUCAGCUUGUGUGUUAGUGGAACGGUCUGGAAAGUCCGACGGUACAGGGUGAUAGUCCCGUACACCAAAAUGCACAGGCUGUGAACUCGAAGAGUAGGGCGGGACACGUGGUAUCCUGUCUGAAUAUGGGGGGACCAUCCUCCAAGGCUAAAUACUCCUGACUGACCGAUAGUGAACCAGUACCGUGAGGGAAAGGCGAAAAGAACCCCGGCGAGGGGAGUGAAAAAGAACCUGAAACCGUGUACGUACAAGCAGUGGGAGCACCUUCGGGUGUGACUGCGUACCUUUUGUAUAAUGGGUCAGCGACUUAUAUUCUGUAGCAAGGUUAACCGUAUAGGGGAGCCGCAGGGAAACCGAGUCUUAACUGGGCGUUAAGUUGCAGGGUAUAGACCCGAAACCCGGUGAUCUAGCCAUGGGCAGGUUGAAGGUUGGGUAACACUAACUGGAGGACCGAACCGACUAAUGUUGAAAAAUUAGCGGAUGACUUGUGGCUGGGGGUGAAAGGCCAAUCAAACCGGGAGAUAGCUGGUUCUCCCCGAAAGCUAUUUAGGUAGCGCCUCGUGAACUCAUCUUCGGGGGUAGAGCACUGUUUCGGCUAGGGGGUCAUCCCGACUUACCAACCCGAUGCAAACUACGAAUACCGAAGAAUGUUAUCACGGGAGACACACGGCGGGUGCUAACGUCCGUCGUGAAGAGGGAAACAACCCAGACCGCCAGCUAAGGUCCCAAAGUCAUGGUUAAGUGGGAAACGAUGUGGGAAGGCACAGACAGCCAGGAUGUUGGCUUAGAAGCAGCCAUCAUUUAAAGAAAGCGUAAUAGCUCACUGGUCGAGUCGGCCUGCGCGGAAGAUGUAACGGGGCUAAACCAUGCACCGAAGCUGCGGCAGCGACACUAUGUGUUGUUGGGUAGGGGAGCGUUCUGUAAGCCUGCGAAGGUGACCUGUGAGGGUUGCUGGAGGUAUCAGAAGUGCGAAUGCUGACAUAAGUAACGAUAAAGCGGGUGAAAAGCCCGCUCGCCGGAAGACCAAGGGUUCCUGUCCAACGUUAAUCGGGGCAGGGUGAGUCGACCCCUAAGGCGAGGCCGAAAGGCGUAGUCGAUGGGAAACAGGUUAAUAUUCCUGUACUUGGUGUUACUGCGAAGGGGGGACGGAGAAGGCUAUGUUAGCCGGGCGACGGUUGUCCCGGUUUAAGCAUGUAGGCUGGUUGUCCAGGCAAAUCCGGAUAAUCAAGGCUGAGGUGUGAUGACGAGGCACUACGGUGCUGAAGUAACAAAUGCCCUGCUUCCAGGAAAAGCCUCUAAGCAUCAGGUAACAUCAAAUCGUACCCCAAACCGACACAGGUGGUCAGGUAGAGAAUACCAAGGCGCUUGAGAGAACUCGGGUGAAGGAACUAGGCAAAAUGGUGCCGUAACUUCGGGAGAAGGCACGCUGGUGUGUAGGUGAAGUCCCUGCGGAUGGAGCUGAGACCAGUCGAAGAUACCAGCUGGCUGCAACUGUUUAUUAAAAACACAGCACUGUGCAAACACGAAAGUGGACGUAUACGGUGUGACGCCUGCCCGGUGCCGGAAGGUUAAUUGAUGGGGUUAUCCGUAAGGAGAAGCUCUUGAUCGAAGCCCCGGUAAACGGCGGCCGUAACUAUAACGGUCCUAAGGUAGCGAAAUUCCUUGUCGGGUAAGUUCCGACCUGCACGAAUGGCGUAAUGAUGGCCAGGCUGUCUCCACCCGAGACUCAGUGAAAUUGAACUCGCUGUGAAGAUGCAGUGUACCCGCGGCAAGACGGAAAGACCCCGUGAACCUUUACUAUAGCUUGACACUGAACAUUGAGCCUUGAUGUGUAGGAUAGGUGGGAGGCUUUGAAGCGUGGACGCCAGUCUGCGUGGAGCCAACCUUGAAAUACCACCCUUUAAUGUUUGAUGUUCUAACGUUGGCCCCUUACCGGGGUUGCGGACAGUGUCUGGUGGGUAGUUUGACUGGGGCGGUCUCCUCCCAAAGCGUAACGGAGGAGCACGAAGGUUAGCUAAUCCUGGUCGGACAUCAGGAGGUUAGUGCAAUGGCAUAAGCUAGCUUGACUGCGAGCGUGACGGCGCGAGCAGGUGCGAAAGCAGGUCAUAGUGAUCCGGUGGUUCUGAAUGGAAGGGCCAUCGCUCAACGGAUAAAAGGUACUCCGGGGAUAACAGGCUGAUACCGCCCAAGAGUUCAUAUCGACGGCGGUGUUUGGCACCUCGAUGUCGGCUCAUCACAUCCUGGGGCUGAAGUAGGUCCCAAGGGUAUGGCUGUUCGCCAUUUAAAGUGGUACGCGAGCUGGGUUUAGAACGUCGUGAGACAGUUCGGUCCCUAUCUGCCGUGGGCGCUGGAGAAUUGAGGGGGGCUGCUCCUAGUACGAGAGGACCGGAGUGGACGCAUCACUGGUGUUCGGGUUGUCAUGCCAAUGGCACUGCCCGGUAGCUAAAUGCGGAAGAGAUAAGUGCUGAAAGCAUCUAAGCACGAAACUUGCCCCGAGAUGAGUUCUCCCUGAGACUUUAAGUCUCCUGAAGGAACGUUAAAGACGAUGACGUUGAUAGGCCGGGUGUGUAAGCGCAGCGAUGCGUUGAGCUAACCGGUACUAAUGAACCGUGAGGCUUAACCUUACAACGCCGAAG
rnacentral:rRNA from 1 species